ensembl:lncRNA
GGGGAACUUGGAGAAGAGAAGGCUCUGGGGAGACCUCAUUGUAGCCUUCCAGUUUCAAACAGAGCUUACAAGCAAGAGAGGGAACAGAUUCUUACACGGUCAGUGAUAAGACAAGAGGGAGAGAUGUAGGUUAGAUGUUAGGAAGAAAUUCUUACUCAAAGGGCAGUGAGGCCCUGGCACAGCUGCCCAGAGAAGCUGUGGUUGCCCCAAGUCACUGAGGUGAUUCAGCAUUCCUCUUCUAGUGCCUUUACUUUGUGCUAGUAUGGAUAAGCGUGUAAGUUACGUUCUGAUUGCUUCCAUUUAAGUCCAGCCCUCCCCUCUCACAUUGAGAACAAAAACUGUUGUCAUUGUGCUGAACUGUAGGAUGUUAAGAAUAAGUGGGUACUUUGUCACCAGCAGUAACACUACAGAAAGCAGUCCAAUUUUCUUCUUUCCUCCCUCAGGUUACU